rnacentral:piRNA from 1 species
AGGAGAGGAGGACUGACCAGAGGU